rnacentral:tRNA from 1 species
GCAUUGGUGGUUCAGUGGUAGAAUUCUCGCCUUCCAUGCAGGAGACCCAGGUUCAAUUCCCGACCAACGCA